rnacentral:rRNA from 1 species
CUACGGGUUGCACCAGUCGAGAAUUUUUCACAAUGGGGGAAACCCUGAUGGAGCGACGCCGCGUGGAGGAUGAAGGUUUUCGGAUUGUAAACUCCUGUCAAAUGGGAACAAGAAAGUGAUAGUACCAUUAGAGGAAGAGACGGCUAACUCUGUGCCAGCAGCCGCGGUAAUACAGAGGUCUCAAGCGUUGUUCGGAUUCAUUGGGCGUAAAGGGUGCGCAGGCUGUGGGGUAAGUCGGAUGUGAAAUUUAGGGGCUCAACCUCUAAACUGCAUUCGAUACUGCUCCGCUAGAGGUAUGUAGAGGAGAUUGGAAUUCACGGUGUAGCAGUGAAAUGCGUAGAUAUCGUGAGGAAGACCAGUGGCGAAGGCGAAUCUCUGGGCAUUACCUGACGCUCAUGCACGAAGGCCAGGGGAGCAAACGGGAUUAGAUACCCUAGUAGUC